GACGAACGCUGGCGGCGUGCUUAAUACAUGCAAGUCGAGCGAGGUCCAUCUGGUGGCAACACCAGUGAAGGCCGAGCGGCGAACGGGUGAGUAACACGUGAGCAACCUGCCCCGAAGUCUGGAAUAACAUCGGGAAACCGGUGCUAAUACCGGAUCGCCCCACCUGACCGCAUGAUCGGGUGAGGAAAGAUUUAUCGCUUCGGGAGGGGCUCGCGGCCUAUCAGCUAGNGGUGGGGUAACGGCCUACCAAGGCGUCGACGGGUAGCUGGUCUGAGAGGACGACCAGCCACACUGGGACUGAGACACGGCCCAGACUCCUACGGGAGGCAGCAGUA
rnacentral:rRNA from 1 species